GAUGAAGAACGUAGCGAAAUGCGAUAAGUAAUGUGAAUUGCAGAAUUCAGUGAAUCAUCGAAUCUUUGAACGCACAUUGCGCCCCUUGGUAUUCCGAGGGGCAUGCCUGUUCGAGCGUCAUUAUAACCCCUCAAGCUCAGCUUGGUGUUGGGGCCUGCUGCACUGGCAGCCCUUAAAAUCAGUGGCGGCGCCAUCUGGCUCUAAGCGUAGUAAUUCUUCUCGCUAUGGAGUCCUGGUGGAUGCUUGCCAUCAACCCCCAAUUUUUCUAUGGUUGACCUCGGAUCAGGUAGGUAUACCCGCUGAACUUAAGCAUAUCAAUAAGCGGAGGA
rnacentral:misc_RNA from 1 species